rnacentral:lncRNA from 1 species
AUAAUAAAUUACUGCAAUUAAAAUAUAAUAAAAAAUGCCAGACCUAUUUGCUGUAAUAAAACCCGAUUCUAACUUUUUGGGUUAUCAGUAAAAGAUUUAAACUUUGGGAUAAAAUUAAAGAGGACAUUUAAAUUGAGAUGAUAUAAAUAUAUUAAAAGUUGGAGGGGUUAAAAGUUAAUUUAAAUAAAAAAAAAAAAAAAAAUUAAUCUCAGUGGUGCGUGCGGGUCCCCCCGCCGAAAGCAAAAGGAAAAGAAAAAGAAAAAACAGAAAAAAAGAAAAAGAAAAUAAUAAAAAAAUAAAAUAAUAAUAUUUAUAUAUUAACUAUACUUUAUAAAAUCUAUAAAUAUAGAGGAGGAAGAAUCGGAUGAAGGGAAGGGAGAAAGAAAAGAGAAGAGAGAGAGAGAAAGAAAUUGAGAGAAAUUUAUGGUUUGGUCAGUUAUAAUCAUAAGAGUUUAGGCAGGUAGAAUCAAACGGUGAGAUGAUGUCCGAUUGAGAUGAAAUUUCAGUAUGAUGUUCAUGGAUGAACGAUCUCAUAUUUGAGGGUGUCGAUUUCAAUUUGAUGUAAGUAACCCUACUCUCUAAGGUAGUGUAAGUAACGCUUAAUUUCUAAAAUAAUAGUAAAUUAUUCUUUAUCUACUAUAUAUGCAUGAUAUGUUAUGCUAUGCAAAUCAAAAUCCAUGUCUUAGAUAUAAAUAUUUUGAAAUGAUUUUGUAAUGUAUAUGUUCUAUGUACCACAUAUUUCUACCCUUUCAAAAGGUAUUCGGCGACGGCCGCACAUCUGACUCAAGGAGUGGUGAAAUUAAAUGUAUAAAACCCGACUAAGGACGGGAGGAUCAUAGUGCAUAUGUAUGUUUUAAGAAUUUGGGUGGUUUUUCAAAAAAAUGGUUGACUCAGUAUAUAGUCAAAAUACAGUACAACAAGCAUGGAAUUUUGAACAAGUAUUGCGAAGAUUUAAAUGUUUUAUCUUCUUCCGCUAUGUAAUGUUAUAUGCAUCUCCAUGGUAUUUUAUGUUUUGAUUGUAUGAUAAAAACCUAUUGUUAGGAUUAUGGUUAUACGCUAAGCAAAUGUGCUUAGGAUAUUGUUUUUGACUAUUUCAGGUGAUAAAGAAGCAAGUGGUAAAUAUUCGAACCAUGUUAUGUAAUAUAACCGUGAAUUUAUGUGUUAUAGUUCGACUACAAGUCCGGAAAAAACAAAAAAAUAGCUUUGAAUAGUAAUGUAUUGAAGUAAUGUCUUCAUGUUAAGACAGGUACAGUCCUCUCUAAAACCGUCAUGAGCAUGUAUUUCAAAUGAAUGAAUUUAUUUGAGUUUUUUGACUCCAAAAAUAAAUUUAUAGUGUUUCGCUUUCCGCACAUGAAAUUUUUAAACAAAAGAAACAAAAAGUUUUAGAAAAGUUUUUACUAAGUGCAAAUCGCAGAAUUGACGACGCUCGAUGGCGCGUGACCACGUGGGCGUCGGGCGGGUCGUUACGAAUGGUAUCAGAGCUCAACGUUUCAUCAAAACUUGUACUGUUCUAAAUAUUCUGAAUAUAUUAUAGAUAAUGUAAAUCAUCAAGUCUAAAGUAUGUGUAAGUUAUUAUUUAGUAUCUAGAGUGCGCAGUGGAAGCGUGAGUUUUGAUAUUGACAAUAAAUAGGACUUUUCAAAUUUCGAGGACGAAAUUAUUUAAGAGGGGAAGAUUGGAUAACCUCCGCUUCUAAAUUUUUGGUUUAUAAUUAAAAGAUGUAUUAAACUUUGGGAUAAAAUAAGAGGACCUUUAAAUUGAGAUUAUAUAAUAUAAUUAACCAAGUUGAUGUGUUAAAAGUGUAAUUUAAAAAAAAAAAAAAAUUAAUCUCAGUUGGUGCGGCGCCGAAAGCAAAAGGAAAAGAAAAGAAAAAGAAAAAGAAAAAAAAAAAAGAGGAAGGAAAAAGAGAAAAUAAUAAAAUAAAAUAUAGUAUUUUAUAUAUAUAACUAUACUAUAUACUUUAUAAAAAUCUAUAAAUAUAGGAGGCGGAGAAUCGAUGAAGUGAAGGGAGCAAGAAAGAGAAGAGGAGAGAAUCACGAACAUACAUGAGAAAUUAUAUGGUUGUUGUCAUUUAUAAUCAUAAUAGUUAGGAAUGUAGAAUCAAACGGUGAGAUGAUUGUCCGAUUGCAGAUGAAAUUUCGUAUGAUGUUCAUGGAUUACAGAUCUUCAUAUUUUUGAGGGUGUCGAUUUCAAAUUUGAUGUAAGUAACCCUACUCUCUAAGGUAGUGUAGUAACCUUAAUUUCUAAUAGAGUAAAGUAUUCUUUUAUACCUAUAUAUGCAUGAAUUAUGUUAUUCUAUGCAAAAAAUCAAAUCCAUGGCUUAGAUAUAAAUAUUUUGAAAUGAUUUGUAUGUAUAAUGUCGAUUUACCACUAUUUUCUAACCUUUCAAAGAAGGUAGUCGUCUACGGCGCACAUCUCGACUCAAGAGUGUGUGGGAAAAUUAUGUAUAAACCACCCGACUGGACGGGGAGGGCAUAGUGCAUAAUGUAUGUUUUAUAAAUUAUGUAUGUUGACUCGAUUAUAGUCCAAAAUACAAGUACAAGCAUGAAUUUUUGAACAAGUUUAUUGUCGAAGAUUAAAUGUUUUAAUCUUCUUCCACGCUAUUUAAUGUUAUAUGCACCUACCAUGGUAUUUUAUGUUUUGAUAUGUAUGAUAAAACCUAUGUUAGAGAUUAUGGUUAUACCGCUAAUUCAAAUGUGCCUUAGGAAUAUUGUUUUGCAAUAUUUUCAGGUGAUAAGGAAAGCAAGUGGAGUAAAUAUUAGAACCAUGUUAUGUAUAAGAACAAUGAUUUAGUGUUGUUCGUACCUAGAAAGUCCGAUAGCUUUUGAAUAUGUACUGUAUUGAAGUAUGUAUGAAUGUUAAAGACGGUACAUGUCUCUCUACCGUCAUGAGCAUGUAUUUCAAAUGAUGAAAUUUAAUAUUGAGUUUUAUGUGACCCAAAAAUAAAUUUAUAUGGUUCGGCUUUCCGCACAUGAAAAAGUUUUUUGUUUUUAAACAAAAGAAACAAAAAGUUUUCAGAAAAAGUUUUUAACGAAGGAAAAAUCGAAGUGACGACGCUCGAUGCCGCGUGGACCACCUGGGCGUCGGGCGGUCGUUACAAUUGCAAUCCAGUGUCAUAAAUUUCAUAUUUAAAUAAUAUCCACAAAUAUGCACAAUUCUCAAAUGGACCCAAGUUAUCCAAUAUAUACAAGUGUCAAGUUUACAUACUUUAACUUCUUCGUUGUUUCAAUACAGAUCUGCAGUUUAUAUUCACAUGAACUAUAUAGCAUACAAUUUAUACUCAUAUCAAACUAUGUUUGUUAUUAUAGUUUGCCGUUCAUGCAUUUUCAACAAAUUAACAACUGACUUAAUCCUAUUUGUGGAAUUCAUACAAAUUCAUUAUUCCCGAAAUAUAGUACUAUAAUAGAAAUAUUUCAAAUUGCAUUCAACGACAGGUAAUAUAUUUACUGAUGCAUGCAUAUCCAUUCAAAUAUAGGAUACCCAUCAUAUCAUAUAUCACAUCUGAUAUACAAAAUUUAAAUUACUGCUUAUAUACUAACUAUAACUAUAUUUUUCAAAUAUCUGAACGGUAAUUUGCCCAUAUAUUUCUUGAUGGAUAAACAUCACUUACCAUAACAAAACCCAUCAAAAAUUGGCCCCACUUUUAAACACAUGACCAUGAUGGAUCAUCCCUUUACACCGUGUAUUAUAAAACAAUUUUUCUGAAAUAGUGCCAUCCAUUACAACCACUUGUCAAAUAUGAAAUUAACUGAAUUUUUUCGUUUGCAACCGUUUUAAUCAAUAUUAAUAACGGUAAAACAUUUAUUAAUUCAGAAGUUGAGGAGAGAACAAUCUGAUGACCCUUUCGCUCGAAAUCGAAUUCGCCUCGUGCUGCCUUGCCGCACGUCCACUUGGAGCCCUGUCUUUAAUAUUUGUUAAUCUAAAAUGUUAGACUUCAGAUUCAGUCAGUCAGCCAUAAUCCCUCGCGGUCCAUAUUGUCAUGAUUCUCGUCACACUAGUUCGACAUAUGAAAAAUCAAGCAACACCCGCAUCUAGAAUAAUUCGAACUUUCGAUAAACGGCGUGACGUAAGAGUCAAGACCCCCGAGUUGUUAACUAAUAACCCUUUUCCCUACAACAUCUUCAUUUCGAUCAUUCGCACUUUCCAAUCUCUAGAUUUUGCACUGACACCGCGGUGAUUUCACCCACCCAUUCCCAUUCGAUUACGAGUCCGAUGUUGGUAGAUAGAAGGCGAAAUCGGGAACUAACCAAAUUCCCCUUUCUAUUCGAACCCAAGUCGAAUGCACAUGGCCAUUUUACCAUUUACCAACUGUUAAAGAAUGUUUUUAGACAAAUACCAAAACACAGAUGUGGCAUAUAUAUUUCGCAUUAAUCCCAAGUAUAAUAACAAACUGCUGUACUUUAAACAAAUACAAAUUUCUUCACCAAAGAAUACAACGUUUAAAAAAGUAUAACCGCCACUAACGUAAUGCAAUUAUUCUAAAAUUGCACUCAGGAAUAAAUAAUCACUCAAUUUAGAAUUUAAUUCACACAGUAAACCCAAAUAAGAUUAUAAUAAUAAAAUUGUUGAAAUGUUUACCAUUUGUAAAUUAAACAAAAUUCAAUUUUUCUGCAUAUAACAACAUAAACUGUCUGAUUUUUUUAACAAACGAUAUAAAACGAUUAAUCAACGACUUAAGAUUGUUUGUAAAGUUGUUAAUUUUUCUUUAAACAUCAGAAGUUUCAAAUAAGAAUUGGGGUAGAAUUCCUUAAACACAGAAAAAAGAAGAAGAAAGAACAUAAAUGUCAAUCAUGCAACUACAGCAUUAAUUAAGGAACAUAAUUUAAUAUGGCUGAGGCCUGAAUUAGAUUUAGUGUCCUUAAGUCGUUGAGACCCGCACGGAAUUAGUCGUACGACUACCAGGCUACAACAGCUUCGAUCUUCGGAAUAGUAGUACUCCAAAUCAGAAGAUCACGCGGACCUUAAGUGUUUCUCUCUCUCUCUAAAAAAUGUAUACUAAUGA